rnacentral:rRNA from 1 species
GGGGAAUAUUGGACAAUGGGGGAAACCCUGAUCCAGCGACGCCGCGUGAGUGAAGAAGUGUUUCGGCAUGUAAAGCUCUAUCAGCAGGGAAGAAAAUGACGGUACCUGACUAAGAAGCCCCGGCUAACUACGUGCCAGCAGCCGCGGUAAUACGUAGGGGGCAAGCGUUAUCCGGAUUUACUGGGUGUAAAGGGAGCGUAGACGGCGAUGCAAGUCUGGAGUGAAAGCCCGGGGCUCAACCCCGGGACUGCUUUGGAAACUGUGUUGCUAGAGUGCAGGAGAGGUAAGUGGAAUUCCUAGUGUAGCGGUGAAAUGCGUAGAUAUUAGGAGGAACACCAGUGGCGAAGGCGGCUUACUGGACUGUAACUGACGUUGAGGCUCGAAAGCGUGGGGAGCAAAC